UACGGAGGGUGCAAGCGUUCUCCGGAUUCACUGGGUUUAAAGGGUGCGUAGGUGGGCAGGUAAGUCAGUGGUGAAAUCUCCGGGCUUAACCCGGAAACUGCCGUUGAUACUAUUUGUCUUGAAUAUUGUGGAGGUAAGCGGAAUAUGUCAUGUAGCGGUGAAAUGCUUAGAUAUGACAUAGAACACCAAUUGCGAAGGCAGCUUACUACACAAUGAUUGACACUGAGGCACGAAAGCGUGGGGAUCAAACAGG
rnacentral:rRNA from 1 species